AGUGAACGCUGGCGGUAGGCCUAACACAUGCAAGUCGAACGGCAGCACAGUAAGAGCUUGCUCUUACGGGUGGCGAGUGGCGGACGGGUGAGGAAUACAUCGGAAUCUACUUUUUCGUGGGGAUAACGUAGGGAAACUUACGCUAAUACCGCAUACGACCUACGGGUGAAAGCAGGGGAUCUUCGGACCUUGCGCGAUUGAAUGAGCCAUGUCGGAUUAGCUAGUUGGCGGGGUAAAGGCCCACCAAGGCGACGAUCCGUAGCUGGUCUGAGAGGAUGAUCAGCCACACUGGAACUGAGACACGGUCCAGACUCCUACGGGAGGCAGCAGUGGGGAAUAUUGGACAAUGGGCGCAAGCCUGAUCCAGCCAUACCGCGUGGGUGAAGAAGGCCUUCGGGUUGUAAAGCCCUUUUGUUGGGAAAGAAAAGCAGCAGGUUAAUACCCCGCUGUUCUGACGGUACCCAAAGAAUAAGCACCGGCUAACUUCGUG
rnacentral:rRNA from 1 species